CCUACGGGGCGCAGCAGUGGGGGAUAUUGCACAAUGGGGGAAACCCUGAUGCAGCGACGCCGCGUGAGUGAAGAAGUAUUUCGGUACGUAAAGCUCUAUCAGCAGGGAAGAAUAAUGACGGUACCUGACUAAGAAGCCCCGGCUAACUACGUGCCAGCAGCCGCGGUAAUACGUAGGGGGCAAGCGUUAUCCGGAUUUAUUGGGUGUAAAGGGAGCGUAGACGGCUGUGCAAGUCUGAAGUGAAAUGCCGGG
rnacentral:rRNA from 1 species